rnacentral:lncRNA from 10 species
CGCAAAUCUAAACAGAUACUGUCCCUCCCAGGGCAGGACUCAAGAGCGGGAGCCACGACUCCAUGUGCCCAAACAUGGGGAUGGGCAGCCACCGGGCCCCUCUGUCUCGCGAAGUUUCUCAGGACCCUGGGCUUUGCCACGGUCUCAGUCCUUCUCAACGUCUCCCUCCCUUAAUGCGCCUUCUUUCUUUUUCCUGUCCCUUCAAGAAUUAGAGUGGUCCUUUAAUUCUUUUUGUUUCCUCUCUUUUCGAUUUCCUUCUUUUGUGUCCAUCCUUCCUGCUUUCCUUCUUCCUCUCCCUCUUUUUAAAAUUGCAUUACUGUCAUACCUGGUUUCCCUGCAGUUCUUGGGUGGAGUUCGAGGACCCUCCCUGGUGGAAGGCGUUUGUGUUCUACCAAAAGAGGAGCCCUUCUGACCGAGGCUUCAGAGCUCAGCGUGGCGCCGACGGGACCACCUUUCCCUUCUCACCUCUUUUCCUCUCCACCUUCCAGGAAACCACUAUCUAUCCAUCUAUCCAUCUAUCUUCUGUAUACGAGUAGAAGGAGGAGGAGGAGGAGGAAAAUCAGGAAUCCACGCAAAGUUUUCCAAGCUCCCUGAAGUGGUUGGGCACAUCAGUAGCUGAGAGACUCCUCUGACCAUGGCCAGCCUCAGGAAGUGAGUGUCAACAGCCUUGCAGAUGGGAACUCAACUCCUGGGUACCCAUGCCUGAAAAGACAAUUUCGCUCUUGAUGCCCAGGCUGGAGUGUAAUGGCAUGAUCUCAGCUCACUGCAACCUCCGCCUCCCAGAUUCAAGCAAUUCUUCUGCCUCAGCCUCCCAAGCUGGGAUUACAGGCAUGUGUCACCAUGCACCUCUUGCACCCGGUCUCCUUCUCAGAGUCUGAUGCCCAGGAAAUCUGAUCUGUGGCAGUGUGGGGAUUCAUCCAAGAAUGAAGACUGUUUGUAAAUUGAGAUUUGAGGGUGGAAUCAUCCACUGGCCAGCCAGCUGUGAGGACCAGCCGCUGGUGGUUGGGGGUGCACAAAUGGCCUCAGGCCCGCUGUACUGCUGCAACUAUUAAAACUCCACCAUGGUGUACAUGGAAGGAUGGCUGGUAGAAUAGGACUUACUGGCAAGUAGUGUAUCAGGCAUUUGAGAGAUACAGGGCAAUAGUCAUUAUAAAGACAAUAGAACUAGAUAGUUGUUGUUAGGAAAUAAUCUAUUCUUUGGGGCAAGACCGUAAAAGGCUGAGGGUAAUUAAUCACCUCUUACAGGCUAAGUCAGAAUUCCAGAGGACAUCCUCAGAAGCAUAAAAAGAUACCCUCAUCUCCUAUCAUUGGAGUGCAGAAAAACCUGAGGAAUGAAUUUAGGAUUUAAUUAUGGAAGCACAGAGUUUCAGAGAAGGUUGAGUUCUGAGUUCCACAGACCAGCUCUGCCAAGGUCAGAGCCCUAAUUAUGAAGGAAUGGAACUGCAAUACAUGGGAUGUGGACAACUGAUGUAGGAUUUUUUCUUCUUGGUCACUUUGCAAGCCUGGGACCUCCAGCCAGUGAUGUCCGCCCAGGGCUUGCUUGGCUAUGCUGGUGUGCCUCAGCUUGUCUGUGUUAUAGCUUGUACCCACAUUUGGUGAUUCUCAAGCUCUUGUACCACACCCAAGAAGAUUGAGGAUAUGCUGCACAUUGAAGGGUGAGGAGGGCAGAGAAGAAUUUUACUGAGCGACCGAACAGCUCUCAGUGGAGAGGGGACACAGGGGAUGGUCCCUCACCCCCACAGUCAGGUGGUUCUCUCCUCCUUGCGUAGGUGGGUCUGGGGAUUUUUAUGGACUCAGAAUGGGGAGGGGCAGGCCAUAGGUAGUAUUGGAAAAGGCAACACUCAAUUGGUUAAAAAGUAUUAUUCAGAAAGAAUCAAUAGGGAAAGGGUGAGCAAACAGGAACAGAAGUUCUCAUUCUGGGUCACCGGUUUCAUCUGGGACCAGCAAUCUAGUUUUUCAGCCUUCAAGCUGUUUUUGACUUGAAGGUGGGGUUUCACCAGGGACCCACCCCUAUCUGCCUCAGCAUUUGGCUGACUCCUAUCGCUAUCAAAACUGUGUUAAUGUAUUAGAAACUCUUGAAUCCCCAGAUUCUCCUGUAUCCUCUGGGUCUGCAGAAGCAACCCACUCCUUCCUGUUAAAAGAUGGUACUCUGAUGUGCACCACCACCCCCAAGGAACACCCCUUGGUUUAAGCCAAUGCAAAGUCCUUUGCCUUGCGAGACAGCAUGCACACUCCUCAAGGAUAUGUUCUCAACUCCCCUCCUGACCAAUAAUCAGAAAUAUGUCACAACGUAACCCAACUGUGCUGGGCCUGCUAAGAGAGGAAAGGGAUUACAGCCAGCAGGAGCCACCGGACAUAUAUGCAUAUGCAUACAUUCCAAUAUGCGCUGGCAGGAGCUGGGAGAAUACAUAAAUGACUAGAUUCUAAGGGUACUGGAUCAAGGGGCAUGGGACAUAAAGUUGGUUAGGGGACAGUUUAUCAAUAUGGCAGCACUCUUCUGCAAUACAGAUUUAAUACCCUAUUUAAGGAGGUGAAGCUAACAUAUUUCUAGGAUGGCCCUUAGAAGCUUGGACAAAGUGAAGUAGAAGUGCCAGAAUUGCUGUGGCAGAUGGUGGAAGAGGGAUAGAAACCUUGAGCAGUAGGCCUACUACAGUGGAUAUAAUUAGCAAAACUGGGAAACUCACUCUAUGACUAUGUUUGGUGGGAAGCCCUGGAGGACACACUGUUGAUAAAAUCAAUAAGAAAUGCACUGACAAGAAGGCACCAGAAUCUCUGAGAAGCUUAGUGGUUGGUGAUAGUCUUCUGCAAGGUGGGAGAUCCUGUUGCAGAACUGGGCUCUCUGAUAGUAGAAGGAAAUGACAGAAUUCCAAAAUAAUAGAGUCAGGUGACACUUAAAUACCAGAAGAAAAGUGGGUGCAAUUAUUGUCAUGAAAAGCAAAGCUGAAGUGGAAGCCCAGGAGGCCUGACCUGAGAGCUAUUGAAGCAGCAACUAGAACGUGAUGUCCCUGGAGGUAAGACAAACAGACAGUCAACAGGGUCUUGCCCAAUCUAUACAAGCAAAAGAAAUCAAGAGUAGAUGAUUAGGAGACUAAAAGUAGCCACCACAGUAAAAACUUAAAAUCUCUUUUUUAGUUUCCAGACCUGAGCCAGUUUUCUGACCUAGCACCCAUUGAUUGAAGGAGAAUCUAAAUCCCUGGGAAGGCCUUAUAAAACCAUAGCAAGUAUAAAUGGCAAUGAUUCCCCUAGUCUUCCCCCCAAAAUACUAAGAACUAUUUACUUAGGUAAUUAUGUACUGGGAAAGCGUGGUACCCAUAUAGUUUGAGGACACAGAGCCCAAGUUAAUAUUGGUACCUGGAAACCUAAGACAUUAGGAGAGCCAUCUAUUAGAGGAGGGGUGAAUGGGCACCAGGUAAUAAAUGGUCGAGGCCUAGGUCGAGCUCACACUUGGUCCCCUGGGGUCCACAGACUCACCCAGUGAUCAUGGUCCUAAUCCCCAAAUGUGUAAUUUGAAAUGGACAUACUUGAGGGUUGGCAGAAACCUUACAUUGGUUCAUUGGCCUGCAGAAUGAGAAGUAUCACAGUAGAGAAGGCUCAGUGCAAACCUUGAACUAUCCCUCUAGCCCAUGCAAGAUAAGGCAGAACAGGAACCCCUUUUAGGAGCCUGUACCCUUCUUCCCCUGAGCAUGAAAAUAAAGGAAAAUCUUCCUUCAAAGGAAAUUUGAGGCAACUAGCUAGCCUAAAUAAGGGAACAACUUAAUAAGCAAGAAGGUAAUAGUAACUUAAAACAAUAGCCAAGGAAGUUAGAGUCAGCAGAUAAUUUGUUUCCUAUAGAAACUAAAGGUAACAUCCUAACAUAUGUCACUGAGUUGUUUUUCAAAAACCCGGAUCCCCACCAAAUGGAUCCAUUGGCACUUAGGCCCAGAUAAGGAGGAAAUGAGGACUGAACCCUGACCGCUGUUCUUUGUUCUAAAUUUCUUCCUAAGGGGCCUGGAGGAGGUCACACCCACGAGCCAGAGCUGACGUUCUUUUUUAGAGACAAAACUUUGCCUCCUUAACCAAUUGCAAAUGAGAAAAUCUUUGAGUCUGCCACCAACCUAUGGGCUCCUGCUUUGAGAUAGCCCACUUUUUUAGGUCAAACCAAUGUAUAGCCUCCGUGUUUUGCUUUAUGACUUUGCCUGUAACCUCUGCCUCUUCACCUUUAGAAACUGUUACCCGUAAGUCAUCUGGGAGUUCCGGUCUUAAGCAUGAGCUGCCCGAUUCUUCUUGCUUGGUGCCCUGCAAUAAAUGCCUCACUUUCUCUUGAUGCUAUGCCAAUGUCAGCAUGUGGCUUUGCUGCCCCAGGCAAGUGGACCCCAGUUCAGUUUGAUAACAAAGAUAAGUAAAUCAAAACCAAUAUCAUAUCCUGGGGGAAAACAGCAGCUGAAAACAUCUGCCUCCUCCGUGGUCAUGUUCCCACAUCCAGUGGCAGGCCAAUCCUUGAGGAUCAGGACAAUUCUGAAAGGCCAUCCUUCAUCUGGAGUCUUCCAUGAGAUUGACUGAGACCACUGGUGCGACCGUGUCACACCCCAAUUCCCCUUCUGCCCAGUCUGGCUUUCUCCACCCCCGACAGGUGUUGAUUCCCAAGAGUCUCUCCCAAUAACCUUAUUGCAUGUGAAUAUAUAUUUUAGAAUCUGCUUCCUGGGAAAUCUGACAGGACAGAAUGAAUCCACAACAUUCACUACCAGAAGAUGCUCUGCCUUUGAACUGGCCUGCCCAUGGGCUUUUCCCUGGACCUUGGGAGCACCUCUAAUCAAAAGUUAAUACCCAGAGCCUCAGAGGUUUCACUGAAACACUGCCCAGGAAGGAGUCACUGAAAAUCCUAUGAGGAAGGGAAGUGGGGGAACCUGGGAGGAAGGAAACUACACAAUCUGAAAGAUGUAUAAAUACAAAGUUUCCAUAAGUUUGGGGCUUGAAUCAUAUACCUGAGAGAGAGAGAUUUCUAGGAAUGAAAAGAAGCAAGCCACAGCCUUUCAUCAACUACCUAAGCCAAGCAGUGGGCAGAUCUACCAGCUGGCCAGGCAGGGGGUGCUGAAUGGCUGUCAGUCUUGUGGACAGGACGUCCCAACUAUUCUGACCUGUCACCGCUAUUUUGGGCACAGAAGGGAGGACCGUGGGGUCGUCAGCCUCAAGGCAUUUAGUCUUCUAUUCCUUUUCUCUUCCUUUCCAGUUCUUUGAAAUGAGAAUCAGGGUUUAUGUCCAGUCCCAGAGUGACACCUUAGACACCUUAAUUACACCACUUUGUUCUCUCUCUCUCUCUCUUUCUUUUUUUUUUUUUUUUGAGAUGGAAUUUUGCUCUUGUUGCCCAGGCUGGAGUGCAAUGGUGCAAUCUCGGCUCACCGCAACCUCCCCCUCCUGGGUUAAAG